GAGGGUAUAGCUCAAGUGGCAGAGUGCAUGCUUAGCACGCAUGAGGUCCUGGGUUCAAUCCCCAGUGCCUCUU
rnacentral:tRNA from 1 species